UGAUCCGGUGAAGUUUUCGGAUCGCGGCUACUCCGGCGGUCCGCCGCCGAAGAAGCUGUGAGAAGUUCAUUAAACCUUAUCAUUUAGAGGAAGGAGAAGUCGUAACAAGGUUUCCGUAGGUGAACCUGCGGAAGGAUCA
rnacentral:rRNA from 1 species